CGACUACAUUAGAUACCCCCGUAGUCCCAGCCGUAAACUAUGCUCGCUAGGUGUCAGGCAUGGCGCGACCGUGUCUGGUGCCGCAGGGAAGCCGUGAAGCGAGCCACCUGGGAAGUACGGCCGCAAGGCUGAAACUUAAAGGAAUUGGCGGGGAGCACCACAACGGGUGGAGCCUGCGGUUUAAUUGGACUCAACGCCGGGAAGCUCACCGGAUAAGACAGCGGAAUGAUUGCCGGGCUGAAGACUCUGCAUGACUAGCUG
rnacentral:rRNA from 1 species